UUUCCCUCCUUUAUUUUCUCAACCAACUAUCCGCACAUUACCCCCAAAUUAUCAAAAAAACCCUACAAUCUCUCGCCUAAAAUGCUAUCCCAAAACACGCACAACAACUUCAGCAAAGAAGAGGCAAAGAAUCACGAACAAAUAGGGCUCUCGCUGCAACUGGUCACUACUCGAUCGGCGAAGAAGUUCUGAAAUUAACAUUAUAUAUACAGAGCAGAGCAGAACUCAAUAGAUAAUCACAAAAAAAUUUGGGCUUGUGUACGUAGCUUAUAAUCUGUCUUCUCUGGUGAAUCUGUGUCAACGCUAGUAGGAUUCCGUUCUCCUUCUCGUCGAGGUAUUUGCAUACAAUGGAAACAAAAUUUAAUCGCCUUGAGCGGAAUUAUGAUGGUGGUAUUAUUGAAUCUGAUGGAGGUUUAACAGUUUUUUGUCAACCUGGAAAAGAUUUAAGAGCUGGAAAAAUAGACAAACUUAAUCCAGAUGAAUUAGAGCAAGCACAUAUUUAUAUUUUGAAGAACUGUGAUGAAAUUCAACCAUUUCUCGAAGAGUUUUCACAAAUUCCAGGUGAUACCUCUCAAAAACAUUCUGAUAGGGAGUUCAUUAGCUGGUUUUAAAAAAAGGUUGUUGAAUUGUACAAAUGUGAUAACAGUAAGAAAAUGGAAGAUUUGCUCACUUUGUCACGUGGUCCCCUGCCAUAUAUGAGACGUCUUAAAGGCUACGUUACUAAUGGAUAUAGGUUUCAUGUGGAAGAGUAUGACAGGGGUUUGAGGACUCAAAACUACGGGGUGGUUGUAGUUGGUGAGACAGAUGAAGAGAAUAAAAAUAUUGAUUAUUAUGGAGAACUUACUGAGAUUCUUGAAUUGCAAUUUAUUGGAGAAAAAAGAGUGAUCUUGUUUAGAUGUAAGUGGUUUGAUGUGUAUGACCAAGAAAAGGGAGUUAGAAUGGAUGAAUAUGGCUUUGUGAGUGUUAACCGUCAGCGAUUAUUGAAAACUAAUGAGCCAUUUGUAUUAGCAAACCAAGCAUUACAAGUAUUUUAUGUCGACGAUCCUUCAAAUAAAGGCUGGCAUAUUGCAAGAAAAGUUCUACCUCGUGAUACUUUUGACAUUUUGCAAGAAAAAGAUGACGAUUUGGAGAAUUUGGAUAAUUCUACACAAAUGAAAAGGAAAAGAACUGAUGAGGGUUUUUGACCUUCAAUAGUUCGUGCACAUUGAAUGGUCAAAUUCUCUACUUGGGUAUCCCAUCCGAGGUUCGAUGGGAUAGCUUUUGUACAGACGGAUUUUUUAACUUUAGUAGAUUGUUGUAUUGUGCAAGCUGGCCUUACAUGUUUCAUUCGAAACCGGAAAGCUAACUGCUUCAAGGGCGAGGUCAGAGUUCUUUACCCGGGUUUAAUAGCGGAACUCAAUCAGCCGGCAGAAAAGUUCAUGGAAACAUUGUUUGUCCAUCUCUUAGCAAGUGGCAGGCCAAAUGCAUAUAGACUGCCCGUUGACAUGAAUCCAUCAAAAUUUCAGAAGUCUGAAAUGGGAGCAACUUCAAAGAGUGUACAUCAUGCAUAUAUUCAACCUGGUGCUUUAGCAAGGGGAAGAGGACACAACUUUGGAUCUUUGGGCUCUGUAAAAACAAGUAUUGGAAAGAGAACUCUGAUUGUAGAAAAUAAAAAUCAUAAUUCAACAGCUUUUGAGCAGAAUAAGCUUGCACAUAUUAAUAAUCUUGUGCCCCCUGGUUUUGUUUCGAUGGAGAUGAUGCUCCCCUCGCUCAAGACCCUGAAGCGAUACAAGAAACAGGAGCAGCUUUGAAGAAUAUACAUCAUGCAUACAUUCAACCUGCGGCUUUAGCAAGGGGACGAGGGAAAAGCUUUCGAUCUUUGGGCUCUGCAAAAAUAAAUGUUUUAAAAAAAAUCUAAUUUGCAAGAUUAAAAAUUACAACUCAAGGGCUUCUAAGCAGUAUAAACUAGCACAUAGUUGUAAUAAUCUCAUGCCUCCUGGUUUUGAUACGAUGAAAGACGACAUUCCCUUCACUCAAGAAGCUGAAAUGAUGCAAGAAGUUGGAGCUAUUUUGAAGAAUGUACGAGACACUUACAGUCAACCUAGUGCUUUAGCAAGGGGAUGUGGGCAAAACUUAAGAUCUUCGGGCUCGGCAAAAGGAAGCGUUGGAAAGAGAAAUAUGGUUGGCGAAAGUAAAAAUCACAACUCAACAGCUUCUGAGCAGAAUAAGCUAGCGCAUAAUAGUACUAAUCUUAUGCCUCCUAGUUUCGAUCCAAUGGAAGAUGAUGUUUCCCUCGCUCAAGAAGAUGAAAUGAUGCAAGAUUUAUGUGAAUCUGAAAAGCCAAAAAAGGUGAGAGGAAAGAACAAGAAUAAAGAUGUAGCAGGACUCAAAUCCGGAGAAAAGUUUAGAGUUAACUUUUACAACAAUCGGGUUGUAGGAAAGCAUCAAGCCUCAUUUUCGAGACACUUGGGUAUAUUAGUUCAUGAUCGUAAUAUGUGUCCGUUGCAAGUACAUUCAUGGAAGGACAUCGGAGAAGAUAAGCUGGAACACAUGUGGCGAGCUGUUACAGACAAAUUUGACAGUGAUGACAUGAAUCAUCAAAGAGAUCAUGUCUUAAACCAUAUGAAAAAGUUAUGGACCAAUUGUAGAGGAUCAUUGCACAAGUAUGUAAAGUUUAAGCCAUUGCAUGAAGCUCUAAAAAUGUUCCGAAGGAGAUAGACAAGAGUGAUUGGGAAUGGUUGGUCAAAGAACAUUUUUUAAGUGAAAAUUUUAAGGAAACAAGUAUUAGAAACUCGAUCAAUAGGUCUAAGUUGAGAAUGCCUCAUCGUACGGGUAGCAAGUCGAUUAGAGAAAUUAUUUACGAACUGGGAGGCAAAGACGGUAAUCCACCGAACAUGGCAACUAUAUUCUUUGAGACUCACAAGAAAGGCGACACGUUUGUAGAACCUGAAGCUAGUAAAAAAUAUGCUGAAAUACAAGAGCUGGUACAAUUUGAGCCUAUCUCUUACAAAUAUCGAGGUAAUAGAAAGAUGUUUCGGACCUCAAAAUAAGAGUCAUGUGGUUGGAUUAGGGGGUGGUAUAACCACUAAGGAGUUGAAAGGCGGUAGCUCCUCAAAGGCUACAAUCCUGAUUGAGCUAAAUGCAACUCGAAAAGAAAAAGAAUCACUACAAACUGAGCUGAAUGCAACUAAAAAAGCAAAAGACUCUCUGGAAAAACGCAUGGACGACUUUGAGUCUAAGUAUGAUCAUCUUAUAAGCUUAUUGGUUGAUCAACCUUCAUCAACACCAUCUACAAGUCAACAAAGUACAAGUUGAAGUAUUUGACAGAUAAAGGGCCUGAAGUUUGAAGAAUCAUCCUUCAAGAGAGUUUCGAGCAAGUUGAAGCAUGUGGAAUUGUAUUUUGUUUUAUUAGGAGUUGUAGUCGUCAUCUGUACAAACUACUAUUUCGCUUUCUCUUUAGUUUUCUGUUUUCUUUAAGGAAUUGAAACAAAAGGAUCAUGCAAUUUGGAUGUAAUAUAUUAUUUGAUGUUUUAGUUCUUUAUAAUUAAAAAAGAUGUUUUAUGUCGA